UAGAGAGUUCAUUGAGAUAGAAAUUUGUUUUACAAAAUGAAGGGAGUGUUUGUAACAAUUUUUUCUCUACUAGUUGUAUUUGUUCUCACAGUUACAGCUUCAGAACCAGAGCCACCAGUUACACCUUCAGGACCACCAAAGGCAGGGCCACCAAAGGCAGGGCCGCCAAGGGCACUGAUUACAACUUCGGGCCCACCAAAGGCAGGGCCACCAAAGGCACCAGUUACAGCUUCAGAACCAGAGCCACCAGUUACACCUUCAGGGCCACCAAGAGCACCAAUUUCAACUUCAGGGCCACCAAAGGCAGGGCCACCAAGGGCACCGAUUACAACUUCGGGCCCACCAAAGGCAGGGCCACCAAGGGCACCAGUUACAGCUUCAGAACAAGAACCACCAAUUACAGCUUCAGAACCAGAGCCACCAGUUACACCUUUAGGACCACCAAAGGCAGGGCCGCCAAGGGCACCGAUUACAACUUCGGGCCCACCAAAGGCAGGGCCACCAAGGGCACCAGUUACAGCUUCAGAACCAGAGCCACCAGUUACACCUUCAGGACCACCAAAGGCAGGGCCACCAAGGGCACCGAUUACAACUUCGGGGCCACCAAAGGCAGGGCCGCCAAGAGCACCGAUUACAACUUCGGGGCCACCAAAGGCAGGACCACCAAGAGCACCAGUUAUAACUUCAGGAUGAAAAUUUUAUUGAGCUCGUGAUUAAGGCAAAGGAGAAAGUAGUAUAAUAAAAGGGAUGGGUACUUUGAAGUUGCUUUAUUCCAAAAAAAAAAAAACUUGUCUAAUAUAUGUGAAACAAACAUUUGAUGUUACAAAUAAUAAUUAAUGAAACAAAUUUAGGUGUUCUUGUCCAAUCAUUUUCAUCAUAUAGAUUAAUCGUGUUCAAUUAGGUUAGAUCAUUUUUGUUUAAUGCUUGAGAUUAAGGACAAUGGUCUAAGAACCUAAACAACUUAUAUCAAAAUUAAACUAAGUGAAAUAAGUAUCAUCUCAUUGGGGAUGAUAAAGGGUACCUAUAACUUAUAUUUACCAACAAAAAUAUCUACAAAUGGGUAGAAUAAAUCUAUGCUUAUUGGGGAUGGAUACGUGGCAUAUGUUUAUCUAUAAUUUUAACAAACACGAUUGUGGAUACAAAUACUCUAGUACUCCUCCUUUGCAUAUUGUAUGCAUUAAUUUAAUUAAAAUAUAUUAUAUAUGUGAAUAAUCAUAUAUAUAUAUAUAUAUAUAUAUAUAUAUAUAUAUGUUAUUAAUUCUAAUUUAAUGACAAGCACAUGAAACUUUAAUUUUCUUCCACAAACAUAAUGUCAAACAAUUUUACUGUCACAUGCUUAAACAAUUGUUACAGAUAAAAUGUGUUUUCCUUUUUACCGUCAAACAUAUAAACUUUUUGUCAACAUAUCCAUGAUGUCAAUAGAAAACUGUUAUGUUAAAAUUAUCCAUAAUGUUAAUAUUUUAUAAUAAUAUAAAUUUCACACAAACAACCUUGUGUAGUGUUAGUUUAACUUUCAUACCAAUUUAUACAUUGAAAUAACUACAAAUACAUUGGAAGGAUAAAAAUUUAUUGUAGUAAUUUCUUAACUAGUAUUUUUUUAAAAAUCUAUUGACUUUAUAAUAUAAAUAAAGAACGAGUAGUGGGUGUGGAUAUGAAUAUAUGGAUAUCCAACAUGUAUGAGGAUGAAACCAAAAGUUGUUAUCCACUUGGGUAUGAGAGAAUGUGCAAGUAUUUUUUUUAAAAAUGUGUAUAGAGAUUGAUACUAUAGUAUUUGUUAUGAAGGUAAUAUUUAAGAUCCUUUGAUAUCUUAAGUUAAAGUUACUUAUUUUUAGUAACAUUGACUUAAAAUUAAGUGUUAUAGAUCCCAUUUGGGCUUGUCACAUGGCCCAAGGUCCCUAACAAUACAUAACUACUUCACCUGUCAAUCUAGUACUACUUAAGACAUUUCAUGCCUACAUGUAAAAGGCUAAGUUUAUUUUACUCAUCUCUAUAUACUCUUUGACUUUAGCAUCAAAGUAUUUUGCGUAGGUAAUUACAGGUCCCACACCUCGUUAGAGGUUAUCAUCACUUAUUCUUUGUGCAUCCACCAUUGUUAAUAUUUGAACAACUCCUUAGAUAGAGAUCAUAUCAUUAUCCAUCCAAACAAGGGGUGACAAAUAUUUGCACAUACAUACAAGUAGGGGUUGGUAUAUGAGCUGGUUCGGCUUGUGAAACCCCCAUUUUAGAUUGCCAAAUAAGCUCGAUUUAUGAAGUAAAUAAGCUUUUUUUCAAGGUCUGUGUCCAACCUGCAAAAGCCCAUGAGUAAGCAGACCGAUUUGCGCACCAAAUUAGUAAUUUGAAAAAAAUAUUUUAAAAAAGUGAAAAAUGUAUAAAAAAAUUUAAAAAAUAUUUUUUAAGCUAAAAUCUAGCAUACUACAAUAUACUAAUAUUUUAAACAUAAAAAAUUAAUAAUAACCUAAAUUAAAGAUCAUAAUCUUAACAUGACAAAUUAAAAAUACUUGAACAUUAGAUUUAGGCGUGUAAAAUGAGUAAUCCACUAAUAAAAUCCACCAAUUCUAUGAACUUAACGGGUCAGAUUCAAAAACUCUUAAGAUUUCGACUUUUAAAAAAAUAGGCCCAUUAUUCAUAACAUUUGCGGGCUUAACAAACGGAUCAACGAAUCUAUAUUCGUACACGUAGACCCAAGUACGAGUAAAUUUUAUAGCAAAUCGAAUUAGAUAGUCAAAUUAAAACUCAUGAGUAAUUUAGACAACUUUUUUUCAUCUACCUGUUUAUUAACACUCAUGAAUAUCUGUUUACACAAAUACAAAUUACUUUUAUGGUUAGACUAAAUUAUAAUUUUGGUUUAAUUUAUUUUUUUAUUUACGAUUUUUAGUUCUCACAUUUUAAAAAAUAUGUAAUUUUGAUUCCAUCGACAAUUCUGCAUAUACUUUAUUUUUUAUUUUGGUCUCUAAUUAAAUCUUAGACUCAAUAAAUUCAUUUAAGGUACUAUCAAAAAUUCAUUAAAUUAAUUACAACAUAAAAAAUAAAAAUAAAUUUAUAUAAAAUUGUAGAUUUUCUAUUAUGUAGGAACUAAAAUCACAUAAAAAAUAAGGGAAGGAUGAAGAAAUAAAAAUAAAGUAAAAUUACAAUUUAGUCUUAUGUUCAUAAGAGAGUAAAAAAGGUAUUCAAUUACUCUUGAUUUAAGAGGAAAAAAUUUAAUGCUUAUUAAAGUGCAAUACUCCAAAGUUAAAAGGAAGUUUCUAUUCAUUCAAUAGAGAUAUUUAAUGACUUUUAAAUUGUCAAUAAAAUGUAUGAGUACCCAUUAUAUAUUACCAAUAUAUUUUAAAAAACUAAAAUUCAAGUAUAAAAGAUAAUAUAUUCUAAAAUUUAAAUGAACAUUAGAUUAUAUAUUUUUCCGUUUAGACAAUGUACUAUAAUUUUUUUAAAAAUAAUAGAGUACCUUUCAAUUUCAUAUAUUAUUAAUAAAUGUUAGUCAAUUAAUCAUAAAAUUUCUUAGAAAAUAUCACUUUUCUUUUAUUGUUCAAUUAAGAUACCUAAUGACACUUAUCUUUUUUAUGCGUUUAAAUCAAAUUCAAAUACCAAAAAAUUACAACAAUUCAUGCAUAUUGCUCAAUGAUUCUUAAUGAUAAUAAAUUUUGUAUUUUAGCAAUUUAGCACCUAUAAUGUUUGAAUAUAUUUUAUAUAUUAUCAAUAUUUUUAACAAAACAAAAAAAAUAUAAUAUUAAAAGCAAUGUGCUCUUUUAAUUUAUUAAUUAUUUAAUUGUUAUAAUUUAAAAUAAAAAACUCGUGUGAAUGGAACUAGAUAAAAAUAAUUUAAAUUUUUUAUAGUAUUAAGAAACUUUUUCCCCAAUAUUUUCAAUUUGAGGAAAAAACAUGGAUAACAUUACAUAAAGAUAAAUUUAAAUUUUAUAUUGAUAAUAAAUUUUAUAAUUUUUAUAAUUUUUUUACAUUUUAUAUUUUAGUAUAUAUUGUGUACAAACAAAUGUGAUAAAUUAAAUGCAUGAAACAAACACAAAUUGUGAGGCCAUCAUAAUUUAAAGUUAUUAAAGGAAUAAGAGGAAAUGAACAAAAUACAAUUAAUACUUUACCCUUUUUUGUAGCUCUGAGGAACACACUUUAAGUAAAAUUAAUAAUAAGAAGACAAUCUUUCAUAAUCACACCUUACGUCAUUAAGGUGGCCAAUGUUCCACAUUUGUAGCUAUAUAAAUGAUACAUCUUUCAACCAUUUAUUCAUUGCCAUCAAAAUACAAGUGUAUCCUAGGAAGUUUCUUGAGAUAGAAUUUCGCUUUACAAAAUGAAGAAAGUGUUUAUAGCAAUUUUUCCUCUACUAGUUGUAUUUGUUCUCACAGUUACAGCUUCAGAACCAGAGCCACCAGUUACACCUUCAGGACCACCAAAGGCAGGGCCACCAAGGGCACCAGUUACAGCUUCAGAAUCAGAGCCACCAGUUACACCUUCAGGACCACCAAAGGCAGGGCCACCAAGGGCACUAGUUACAGCUUCAGAACCAGAGCCACCAGUUACACCUUCAAGACCACCAAAGGCAGGGCCACCAAGGGCACCAGUUACAGCUUCGGGACCACCAAGGGCACCGAUUACAACUUCGGGACCACCAAAGGCAGGGCCGCCAAGAACACCGAUUAUAACUUCAGGGCCACCAAGAGCACCAAUUACAACUUCAGGAUGAAAACUUUAUUAAGCUCAUGAUUAAGGCAAAGGAGAAAGUAGUAUAAUAAAAAGGAUGGGUGCUUUGAAGUUGCUUUAUUCCAAAAAAAAACUUGUCUAAUAUAUGUGAAACAAACAUUUGAUGUUGCAAAUAAUAAUUAAUGAAACAAAUUUAGGUGUUCUUGUGCAAUCAUUUUCAUCACAUAGAUUAAUUGUAUUCAAUUAGGUUAGAUCAUUUUUGUUUAGUGCUUGAGAUUAAGGACAACGAUCU
rnacentral:lncRNA from 1 species